rnacentral:rRNA from 1 species
CACGCCGUAAACGAUGAAUACUAGGUGUAGGGGUUGUCAUGACCUCUGUGCCGCCGCUAACGCAUUAAGUAUUCCGCCUGGGGAGUACGGUCGCAAGAUUAAAACUCAAAGGAAUUGACG